GUGGGGGGAGAGGGAGACUGUUCUCAUUGGGAAACAGCACAGAGUGUCUACUGGCCUCUGAUUAUGGGUUUGGGCUGGGGCACCUGGACACACCACUGUCCUUCCCGCAUCCCUGGUUGACCAAGGAGAGUGAGCACCCCAUUGGAGAAUAAGAGUCCCGGUGUGUGAGAGGCUGCCGCCCGAGGCUGGCCUUGCUUGACGGGGGCCCUAAGGGUGGGGCCAGCUCCCAAAGGAGACAGCUGUGGGACACCACUGUGGACGUCUGACCCUGUACGGUGGACAGAGGGGCAGAGAAGGGAAGGUGGGGGCUGCCUGCUGGCCGCUCUGGACCAGCCGGAAAAUGCAUUUCCUCAGGUGGCUGCUGGCCUGGGCCCAGUCUCCUCUUCUGCGGAGGGCCCUCCGAGUUCACCCGAAGCGAACACACGGGAGCAAAGCAGGCCGGACUGGGUGUGCGCGCCAGGACCCCGGACGAGGUGACACCAGGACCUGGAGAGCAGGCCAGAGCGGCUCCUCAAAUUUUCUGGCACCUUCCACCCACAGAGGCUGUAGAGAGGAGGUGUGGGCCCCCUGCUGAUUCCCUCCAGGCCGCUCAGCUGACCAAAACAAAGACUGUGUCCACCUGCCGGGCCAAGGCCAGGUUCACCUUUGUUCUCAGGAACAGCCAACAUUUCUCAGAGGACCUGAUGGUGACGGUGUCCAGGCUCAGAGGGUGGAGCCCACAGUCAGCCUCUUGCCCUGCGCUCCUGUCCCCACCUCGCCUGUCCCCGGAUCCACACCUCACCUUUGCAGCUCUGUCCUGAUGGUCCUGUGAAAUCAGUGUGCUUUGGGGAUGCAGUCCCACCUCUGUCUGAGCUAGGUGAGACUGUCUCAACUUUGCUUUCAGAGCUGAGUUAAAUUUCAGCUCUGCUCUCAGCUGCCAGGCCACAGGGGAAGGCGGCGGGGGUUGGGAGCCCAGUGUCCCUCCCUUAUAGCCAACCCGCCGUGCACAGACUAGCCUCCCGCUGUGUGGCCUCUGGAGCCAGAGCCUGGGGUGUCCCUAGUGUCCUUGGCUGCCCAGAGCCAGCCCGACUCGGGGAGCACCCGAGGCCCUGGAGCCCCCGUGGGCCCAGAGCUGGCCUGGCCGCAAGCCAGUUGAUCAGGCCACCCCAGCUGUCUGCUGCCCAGUGGCUCAGCAGCCCUCACACUGUCACCUAGGAAGUGAAAGAGAUGUGCAGACAGACACACACACGGACAGAGCUGGGGCGGGGGUGGGGGACAGCAGAAUGCCCCCUCCUACGUUCCAGGACAGAAUCCCACACUCUUCCUGAACUCGGAACCUAUAAAUCCACCAGGAGACCCUCGCCUGGUCUGGCCUCUGAGUGCAGCUCAGCGUGAGGCCCAGAUCCCCAGUCACCCUGUGCCCACCCUGUGCCUGGGGCUGGGAGGAUGGCAGGUCUGACGGGCACAUACGAAAAGUGAAAAUAAACCUUCCCUGCUUCAGAGCGACUAAAUGGUGCUUUCUCAGCCCCUUGUUGGCAGGGAGUGAAGUCAGCGUUGUGUUCCCAGAUGCGGGGUCUGGUUAAUCAUCACCGUUCUGAGCAGGCUCAGCUUGGGAAAAUCAAGGAAUGAAUCAAGAGGCCCAGGGCAGCACCCUCCAGGCCCCUCUUUGCAGAGCCCACCUGCCCAGCCCUUGGUGGGUCCCACCUGUACAGGCAUGGGGUGGGGUGAGGUGGGGAACGCGAUCCCAGCGUGAAAAACUAACUUGCCAGUUAACCUGCCUGACGGGCCUUAAUCAACGUUGAGGGCCGCACGGAGAACAAAGCGCUGAAACCCAACCCCUGUGCGCCGCGCUGGAUGGGCCAGCCAGAG
ensembl:lncRNA